rnacentral:rRNA from 1 species
UAGUCCACGCUGUAAACGAUGUCAACUAGCCGUUGGGAGCAUUUUGGCUCUUGGUGGCGCAGCUAACGCGAUAAGUUGACCGCCUGGGGAGUACGAUCGCAAGGCUAAAACUCAAAGGAAUUGACGGGGGCUCACACAAGCGGUGGAGCAUGUGGCUUAAUUCGAAGCAACGCGAAGAACCUUAUCCAGGGUUUGACAUGUAUGGAUUAACUCCGUGAAAGCGGAGCCACACCUUCGGGUGGAACAUACACAGGUGCUGCAUGGCUGUCGUCAGCUCGUGCUGUGAAGUGUCGGGUUAAGUCCCUCAACGAGCGCAACCCUUGUCGCUAGUUGCUAACAGGUAAUGCUGAGGACUCUAGCGAGACUGCCGGUGUUAAACCGGAGGAAGGUGGGGAUGACGUCAAGUCCUCAUGGCCUUUAUGCCCUGGGCUGCACACGUGCUACAAUGGUAGGUACAGAACGAAGCAAGAUCGCAAGAUGGAGC